rnacentral:rRNA from 1 species
UGGGGAAUUUUCCGCAAUGGGCGAAAGCCUGACGGAGCAACGCCGCGUGAGGGAUGAAGGCCUCUGGGCUGUAAACCUCUUUUCUCAAGGAAGAAGAUCUGACGGUACUUGAGGAAUACGCCACGGCUAAUUCCGUGCCAGCAGCCGCGGUAAUACGGGAGUGGCAAGCGUUAUCCGGAAUUAUUGGGCGUAAAGCGUCCGCAGGCGGCCCUGUAAGUCUGUCGUUAAAGCGUGGAGCUUAACUCCAUUUCAGCGAUGGAAACUACAGGGCUUGAGUGUGGUAGGGGCAGAGGGAAUUCCCGGUGUAGCGGUGAAAUGCGUAGAUAUCGGGAAGAACACCAGUGGCGAAGGCGCUCUGCUGGGCCAUAACUGACGCUCAUGGACGAAAGCCAGGGGAGCGAAAGGGAUUAGAUACCCCUGUAGUC